rnacentral:rRNA from 1 species
UACGUAGGGUGCGAGCGUUGUCCGGAAUUAUUGGGCGUAAAGAGCUUGUAGGCGGUCUGUCGCGUCUGCUGUGAAAACUUGGGGCUCAACCCCAAGCUUGCGGGCGAUACGGGCAGACUUGAGUACUGCAGGGGAGACUGGAAUUCCUGGUGUAGCGGUGAAAUGCGCAGAUAUCAGGAGGAAUACCAGUGGCGAAGGCGGGCGA